UGCAUUUGUAGCUCAUGAGGAUGAGAACCUCCGGGGGCGGGGAGGUUCGACUCGAGCGAAGCGAGAGAACGUUGCGCCAGCAACGGCCCGCAGGGCGAGCCACGAAGUGGCGAGUAAUCCUCUAUCACCGACCA
rnacentral:sRNA from 7 species